GAGCGAACUUUACUACGUGCUAGAGCUUUGUGCUAUGGUCGAUUAGUUUAGAGUGUUAUAAUAUUAUAUUUUAUUACACACAGUGCAUACACUUUUAAAUAUAAUCAUAACUAAACAUUCAUAUAAAAUGGUGAUAUUUGGACGAUAGUAAGUGAUUUUUACCACAGAGUGUUCGUAUUGUAGAGUUAUGGCUGGUGAUUUCAGAAGUGUGAGGACAUCGUUAUGCUAAUUUACUUCCCAUGUUACCGGGUUUCACCUAUGUACCUGGUUUCAGAAGGUGCGUUAAAUAAUUGGUGUGUCGGUAGAGAUGGUGAAGUGAGCGCGGCGAAAUGGUGCCGUGUCUGGUAGCUCUGCUGCUGCUCGCCCGGGUCUUCGGCUUGCGUGCUCUGGACAUAU